GACGAACGCUGGCGGCGUGCUUAACACAUGCAAGUCGAACGAAAAGAGGGAAAGAGCUUGCUCUCUCCGGCAUUGAGUGGCAAACGGGUGAGUAACACGUAAACAACCUGCCCUCAGGAUGGGGACAACCGACGGAAAGUACUGCUAAUACCGAAUAAGUUCCAAUAGCCGCAUCGCCCUUGGAAGAAAAAGUUGCCUCUACCUGUACGCUAUCGCCUGAAGAGGGUUUUGCGUCUGAUUAGGUGGUUGGGGGGGUAACGGCCAAAAAAGGCGACGAUCAGUAUCAGGUCGGAGAGGAGGAGCGGCGUCACUGGAAUUGGGACAUGGUCCAGCACCCUACGGCAGGCAGAAGUGGGAAAUCGUCCGCAAUGGCAGAAGGCGUGACGGUGCAACACCGCGUGAGUGAUGACGGCAUCCGGGUUGUAAGACUCUGUGAGCCGUUACGAAAAGACAGAGUGCGAAGAACAAACUGCAUUGACGGUACCGGAAAAGCAAGCCACGGCUAACUACGUG
rnacentral:rRNA from 1 species